rnacentral:rRNA from 1 species
GAUGAACGCUGGCGGCGUGCCUAAUACAUGCAAGUCGAGCGAACGGACGAGAAGCUUGCUUCUCUGAUGUUAGCGGCGGACGGGUGAGUAACAUGUGGAUAACCUACCUAUAAGACUGGGAUAACUUCGGGAAACCGGAGCUAAUACCGGAUGAUAUUUUGAACCGCAUGGUUCAAAAGUGAAAGACGGUCUUGCUGUCACUUAUACGUGGAUCCGCGCUGCAUUAGCUAGUUGGUAAGGUAACGGCUUACCAAGGCAACGAUGCAUAGCCGACCUGAGAGGGUGAUCGGCCACACUGGAACGGAGACACGGUCCAGACGCCUACGGGAGGCAGCAGUAGGGAAUCUGCCGCAAUGGGCGAAAGCCUGACGGAGCAACGCCGCGUGAGUGAUGAAGGUCUUCGGAUCGUAAAGCUCUGUUAUUAGGGAAGAACAUAUUUGUAAGUAACUGUGCACAUCUUGACGGUACCUAAACAGAAAGCAACGGCUAACUACGUG